rnacentral:hammerhead_ribozyme from 1 species
GUACUGCUGAGGAGUCCCACAAUAGGACGAAACGGCCGUCCAGCAC